CCUUUUGGGUAUGGCUUUUGGAAUGAGAGAAACACAGAAUCCACAUCGAGGAUCAAUUGGAGGGCAAGUCUGGUGCCAGCAGCCGCGGUAAUUCCAGCUCCAAUAGCGUAUAUUAAAGUUGCUGCAGUUAAAAAGCUCGUAGUUGGAUUUCUGGCAGGAGUGACCGGUCACGCACUCUGUGCGUGAACUUGCGUUGUCUCUGGCCAUCCUCGGGGAGAUCCUGUUUGGCAUUAAGUUGUCGGGCAGGGGAUACCCGUCGUUUACAGUGAAAAAAUUAGAGUGUUUAAAGCAGGCUUAUGCCGUUGAAUAUAUUAGCAUGGAAUAAUAAGAUAGGACUUUGAGUCUAUUUUGUUGGUUUGCGAGUCAAAGUAAUGAUUAAUAGGGACAGUUGGGGGUAUUCGUAUUUCAUUGUCAGAGGUGAAAUUCUUGGAUUUCUGAAAGACGAACUACUGCGAAAGCAUUUACCAAGGAUGUUUUCAUUAAUCAAGAACGAAAGUUAGGGGAUCGAAGAUGAUUAGAUACCAUCGUAGUCUUAACCAUAAACUAUGCCGACUCAGGAU
rnacentral:rRNA from 1 species